rnacentral:snRNA from 1 species
AUACUUACCUGGUAGGGGAGAUAUCAUGAUCAUUAAAGUGGUUCUCCCAAGAGGAGGCUCACUCAUUGCACUUCGGGUGUGCUGACGCUUGCGAUUUCCCCAAGUGCGGGAAACUCGACUGCAUAAUUUGUGGUAGUGGGGGACUGCGUGCGCGCUUUUCCCCU